GGAGAUAUAGCUCUGUUGGUUAGAGCGUGGUGCUGUUAACACAAAGGUUGCAGGUUCAAUCCCUAGUAGUGUCCA